AUUUGAUCUCAAAUCAAGUAAGGCUACCCGCUGAAUUUAAGCAUAUUAAUAAGCGGAGGAAAAGAAAAUAACAAUGAUUCCCCUAGUAACGGCGAGUGAAGCGGGAAAAGCUCAAGGUUAAAAUCUCUAUGCCCCUUUUGCUUGGUAUAGCGACAUGUAAUCUAUGGAUUGUGGUUUUGGUCAGUGGUUAUUAAUAUAGUCCAAGCUAGUUGAAUCUAGUACCAUUGAGGGUGAAAGUCCCGUUUAUGGUUAUAUUAGUAGUCACUAUUGUACCCCACUUUUCGCGAGUCGGGUUGUUUGGGAAUGCAGCCCUAAAUGGGAGGUAAAUUUCUCCUAAAGCUAAAUAUUUGCAAGAGACCGAUAGCAUACAAGUACCGUAAGGGAAAGGUGAAAAGUACUCUGAAGAGAGAGUGAAAAGUACGUGAAACUGUUGGUAGGGAAACGUUUGCACAGCACACUUGAUUGUAUGUAGCAUUUAUGGUAUAUAUGUCAGCCUUGCAGCAAUUCCUCUUGUUGGAAAAAGGGGGUAAGAAGGUAUGGAACCAAGCAGGGAUAAUUUAUUAUUCCAGGAUUCAGUUAUAGCUUACCUUUAAUACAAUGAGUAGGGAUUGAGGAUAGCCAAGUAGUGAUUCGUAGUAUUUUAUACUAGGUUUUGCAUGUCCCUUCUAUGCCUCCCAUGAAUAGACCUCUGGUUAGACAUUUCUAUGACUAGUAGAGGGAUAAUAUUAUUCAGGAUUUAGGUAAGAAUAGUAGGAACAAGUACUUGAUGGAUGCAGGGAAGUGUUGAACAAUCGACCCGUCUUGAAACACGGACC
rnacentral:rRNA from 1 species